rnacentral:lncRNA from 1 species
ACACACACACUCUCUCUCUUUCUCAUUCUCCUUUCCCUCCUCUCCAUCUCCCUAUUGCAUUGUGUCUGACUGAUUUUCAGAGCACCUUCGCUGUUUCCCCCUUCUCGUUCCCUUCCCAUAAAAUAUCUAGACAGGAAGGAGGUGGCUGCAGAGGCUGAACAAUCUCAUAUUCUGCCUGCAAUGUCAUCGUUUCUUUCCCCCAUUUUAGGGGGCUGAAGUUGCCCAGCAAGGGAUGCAGAGGAGCUGGAAAGGAAGGGGGGAGCUCUCCAGAGGCAGCUGCGGUCAGGGGCAGGGACUGCCGCCAGAUGUGCCUGCCUUUCUGGGCUUUGAUGAGAAAGGGGCAGCAGGAGGAAAUAUUGGGAGACAAAAGCCCCGGUUUAAAUGAUCAUUUUCUUUAUUUAACAUGGCAGCAGACACUCUCUGCGUAGGAUCAUCAUGCCGAGCAUAAACUGGACUUUCCCACUUGCCUGGCAGGAGUCACACAGAUCCCUGUGUGCUAAAUGAACAUCUGAGGUUUGAGAUGGGGCCCAAGAUGCUUUUCUGACAAGUUUCCUGGUGAUGCAAUGUUGCUGUUGGGGAA